GACAGAGGGUGCAAACGUUGUUCGGAAUUACUGGGCGUAAAGCGUGCGUAGACGGUUAUUUAAGUCGGGUGUGAAAGCCCCGGGCUCAACCUGGGAAUUGCAUUCGAGACUGAAUAGCUAGGGUACGGUAGAGGGAAGUGGAAUUCCACGUGUAGCGGUGAAAUGCGUAGAGAUGUGGAGGAACACCAGUGGCGAAGGCGGACUUUCUGGUCUGUAACUGACGCUG
rnacentral:rRNA from 1 species